GAAUUUUGAAGGUGUUUUGUUUUUAAAUUUCAAACUUGACUUCAAAAGUAUUUGCAUUUAUAUAAUGAUCCUUAUAUUUAUCAUAAUUAAUCAUAAAUAUAAAAAAUUAAUAAAUAAUUAUCACGUAUACAAAAUAUUACAGUAAUAUUAAUUAAAAAAUAUUACAUUAAAAUAUAAAAUAUUACAUAGAAAUAUAUGAUUAAAUAUUAAAUUGCAAACAAAAUAACACAUUAUUACAUAAAUUUGUUUCCAAAAUGCCACAUUAUUCCGUAGCAUUUUAAAUUUUAUUUUCAAGUUUAUUAAUUUUAUAUGUAGAACUAAAUUUGUAAUAACAAAUUCCAAAUAUUUAUGAGAUAUAAAAAAUUUAAUGAUUAAAAUGAUAAACAAUAAAAUAUUUAAUAAUCAUAAAUAUUAUGUAUAAUUAUAAGUAUCAAAAUGCAAUAAAAGUAUGAAACUUGAAGUUUCUUUUGGAAAAAAAAAAAUCAUAUUUGAAGUUAUAAAAUAAUUUUUGGAGAUGCUCUUGAUAUUGGUUGAUUAUAAGAAAAUUGCCAAAAAUAGCACUUUAAAGAUACCACUUUGGAGAUACCAAUUUUAAUUUCUACCUUAACCAACUUUACCAUUAAAAUUUUAAUCGGUAAAGUAACUCUUUACCUUUAACUAAUUAAAUAACUACUUUUUUCCUACAAUUUCUUCAGAUCUCAGAUCCACGAAAUUGAAUAUAUUCGAUGAUCAAAGCCGACGAGAUUGGCCAAUUCUGAACAGUACUCCGGCGAGAUUCGACGACAAUAGCGAGUUCUCCGGCGAGACUUGACGACGUUGACGAAUUCUCUGGCUAGUUCUCCGGCGAGAUUUGACGAGGACUACAACCUCAAAUGGUUUUCCGAAUCUAUCACCAUCGUCGAUCAAUCUGUUCAUGAGCUAUGCAGUUUAGUAUCAGACUCCGUUCUGGACCUCUCCCGCGGUUUUCUCGAGCUCCAAUCUGCACUCGAAGGGUUUUUGAUUCUUAUCGGUUACGAACAGAAACAUGGGGAUUGGAAGUUCAAUUCGACCGAGAUUCAAAAACAUUUAUAAAUUAUUUAUAAUCGUUAUAUAGCCUUACAGAAAACUAAGUUCAAGCUUGUUAUACAUAUCCUUAUAGACUGAUUUCAUAAACUCUUAUAAAUGAAUUAUAUUUUAAAAGAUAUUUAGAAAGCCUUAUAAAUUGUUUUGAUAACCAAUUAUAAAUAGAUUUAUGAACCUCAUAAUUGGUUUUACAAAUCCAUAUAUAUGAUCUAUAAAGUGCUUUAUAAAAUCUUAUAAUUGUCUUAAUAAAAUAUUUAUAAACCGUUAUAUAUAAUCUAUACAUUUUCUUAUAAAAAAUAAUAAAUUUCUUUAUAAACUCUUAUAAAUGAUUUAUAAUAUUUUAUAAGAGAUUUAUAAACCCUUAUAUAUGGUUUAUAAACCAUUAUAAAUUAUUUAUAAAUGAUUUUUAAAUAUUUACAAAUGAUUUGUAGAUUUUUACAAACAUAUAUAUUAUUUAUUAUCAUUUAAAAAAGUGAUUUAUAGACCUUUUAAACGUCUAUAAAUGAUUAACAAUAUUUUAUAAAGUCCUGAAAGAUAAUAAUACUUCAGUCUUUUCUUACAGUAACAGAAGCAAAACGUUUUGUUUUAGUUAAAGCUCUGAACUCACUUACCUUUGUGAUUGUUCAAACUCUUUGAGCUCAAAGAGAGUAGACAGAGUGUAAUCAUAAAUGUAAUCAGGUUUCUUCCCACGUCAAUAAUAAUAUGCAAUCUUAAGAAUAGUCGCCAUAUCUACCCCAUCUUCCUAACAUAUGUAGAUCAAUCAUGCUGUAGAUUAGUAAAAUAAAUACAAUAUUUGAUUCAAACAUGCAGAAGAUGUGAGCACCUUACCAAGAAGAGGAACCGUUCAUUAUUCACAAACUCAGGGACUUUACAUUUUGGCAAUGCACAAUGGAGUCUUUCAGUGUCUUCUUUGUUAAUCAAUGAGCUAUAAGAAUAUCUUAAAGCUUAUUAUUUUAUCUAUCCACUCGUGAUUUAAAAACAAUUAUAAAUGAUUUAUAAAUAGUUAUAAUGUUUCUUCCAAUCUCUAUCUCUCUUUUUUGUUGCAUCUGAAUUGUGUGUAUUAACUGUAAAUAAGCAUUAGUGUACUUGAAAAUAAAAAUAUUUGAUUUCAUGUAAACCAUAGUUGAGAACUGCACAUAUGCAAAGAAUUUGGUAAUCUAAAAUUAAAAGAAACCAUAAAAUAAUUUAUAAAGGCUUAUAAAUCAUUUAUUAUGAUUCAUAAACCAAUUUAUUUUAUAAAGAUUUAUAAAUAAGCUACAAAACAAGGAAGAACAGCAAAGCAUUACCAGAGAUCACCACAAGGAGGACCCAGAAGCUUCAAGGUAUAGGGAACAUAACCAAAAGCCACACCAAGGAGAACGUAACUGAAGACCGUGAAGAGACACCAUCCAAACUACACAUCACUUAAGAAACAUGGGGAUUGGAAGUUCAAUUCGACCGAGAAUCAUCUGUUUGUGAGGAUUCUUUCAUGCUGAGUGGAGACGUAGGCAGAGCUUCUUCACCAAGUAUCACUCUUUGUGAUGCGUACUCAGCGAUUGGGGAUGGUGGGAGUAUGUGAAUUUUCUGGAGCCAUUCGUGAAUUUUGUAAUAUUACGUACCCCAUUUGCAGAUUCAUCCCCGUCUUUGUUUGUGAGGGAGUUAGUCUCAUCAAUGGCUUCCCUUGUUGCUCAUGCCGUCAUGAAGCAUUGCCGGUAUUCAGAUUGCUUAUGCGAUGUCUUAAGUAAGUCCCAGGGAAGAACUCGGAAGUAAGUACUUAUGAUUGACAGUUACUAUGAUAAAUGCUUAUAGGACCAAGUACUAAGUUUCUGAGACUAUUCAGGACAAUAGAAAUUUCAGCUGCAUUGUCAAGACACUAGUGGAUGCUUUCAUUGUGGUUGCGAGAGACUUGGUUGGAACUAGAUUGGAAGUAAUAGAAAUGCAUGUGUUUGGUGUUCAACUGGUAGAUACCGUGCUUUUGCUUUUUCACCAAAAGUAAACAUGAUCCUGCUAAACAUUUCUUUGUCUAACUAUGGAGUUUGAAUAUUUUGCAGGGCUAGCUGUGUGAUGUUGAACAAAAGCAAGCAUAUAGUUGAAGUUGUUUCUAUGUUGGUCACUAUCCUUCAGUACCAAGCUUAUCUAUAAGAAACCGUACUCUAAGAAACUACAUUACUGAUGAUGCUUAUCACUGGAAAGAGAAUUUGUAGUUUGCUUGGUCCGGCCACGAACUGGGUGCGUCCGGUUUAGUCCUAGUUUAACAAUGUGCCUUCUGUAGCUGUCAAACUCAUGGUUUAUACCUAUUCAUAGUGCCGGUUAUGCACUGGAACAUGUGGCCUUGGAAUAUUUAGUAGUUAUUGUAUUCAGAUGCUUCUUUAUGAAAGAGUUUUUUGGUGCGUAAUCUAAUAUAUAUUUAGGUUAUGAACCAAUCAUUUUGAUUAUCAGAGAUAUAAUAACGAGCAUCCAUUUACUUGAAAGUAGAACUAGAAAUGUUUGAUUUCAAGUACAGAAUAGCUGGGAAUUGCACAUAUGCGAGGGAUGUGGGUAAUUUAAAUUCAAAAGAAACCAUAAAAUUAUUUAUAAAGGUUUAUAAAUCAUUUCUAAAGAUUCAUAAAUCAAUUUGUAAGGGUUUAUAACUUAUUUUAUAAAGAUUUAUAAAUUAGCUAUAAGAAUUUAUAAAGGCUUAUAAAUAAUUUUUAAGAGUUUUAAAUCAUUUAAAAUAUUUUAAUACUCAGCUAUAAAUGUUUAUACAUCAUUUUGUAAUGAUUUAUAAAUCAAUUAUAAAUAUUUAAAAUGAGUCUUAUAAAUAAUUUAUAAGCCUUUGAAAAAAUUUAAAUGAUCUAGUAAGUCUUAUAAAUCAUUUACAAGUGCUCAUUGAUAAUUUUAUAAGCGUUUAAAAAUAAUAUUAUAAGAGUUGAUAAAUGUUUAUAAUUAAUUUAUAAGAGUUAUAAAUUAGUUAUGAGAGUUUAUAAAUUAUUUUAUAACGGGUUAUAAAUAUUUAUAAAUCAUUUAUAAGAGCUUAGAAUUCAGUUAUAAUAAUUUAUAAAUAAUUUUAUAAGAGUAUAUAAAUUAGUUAUAAAUAUUUAGAAAGGCUUACAAAUCAUAAACGAGUAUAAAGGUUUAUGAAUGUUUAUUAGGGUUUGUGAACCGGUUUAUAAGGGCUUAUGAACUAAUUUAUAAAAGUUAUAUGUACUUAUUUAUAAGUGUUUAUGAAUUGAUUUAUAAUGGUUUUAAAUCGAUUUGUAAGUGUCCAUAAACUGAUUUAUAAAUGUUAUAAAUGUUUGCCGUGUGCUCAUAUUGGCUUGCACUAAUGCCAAAGAAACUAGAAAGUGCUUAUGUGUUAUCUUUUUAGAACAAAAUAUUGAUAACGGAGUUAUAGUUAAUUUAUCUUAUGGUCGUACAGAGGAUUGUGUUUAAAUGCAUGGAAACAUGCAUUGAGAUUUUCACAUAACUUUUCUCACAUGGGAUGAUACAAAAGUAUAUGUUUUGUAAAGCUUUUUUGUGUGCAUAGUCUUUUUGAGCGAUUUUAGAAACAUCAACUUAUGAGCCAUUAUAAAUUAAUUUAUAAAUAUAUUUUUAUAAAUGAUUUAUAAACCCUUAUAAAUAAGUUAAAAAUAAUUUAUAAAUGAUUUAUAAAUCUUCAUAAAUGAUUCAAAAACAUUUAUAAAUUAUUUAUAAUCGUUAUAUAACCUUACAGAAAACUAAGUUCAAGCUUGUUAUACAUAUCCUUAUAGACUGAUUUCAUAAACUCUUAUAAAUGAAUUAUAUUUUAAAAGAUAUUUAGAAAGCCUUAUAAAUUGUUUUGAUAACCAAUUAUAAAUAGAUUUAUGAACCUCAUAAUUGGUUUUACAAAUCCAUAUAUAUGAUCUAUAAAGUGCUUUAUAAAAUCUUAUAAUUGUCUUAAUAAAAUAUUUAUAAACCGUUAUAUAUAAUCUAUACAUUUUCUUAUAAAAAAUAAUAAAUUUCUUUAUAAACUCUUAUAAAUGAUUUAUAAUAUUUUAUAAGAGAUUUAUAAACCCUUAUAUAUGGUUUAUAAACCAUUAUAAAUUAUUUAUAAAUGAUUUUUAAAUAUUUACAAAUGAUUUGUAGAUUUUUACAAACAUAUAUAUUAUUUAUUAUCAUUUAAAAAAGUGAUUUAUAGACCUUUUAAACGUCUAUAAAUGAUUAACAAUAUUUUAUAAAGUCCUGAAAGAUAAUAAUACUUCAGUCUUUUCUUACAGUAACAGAAGCAAAACGUUUUGUUUUAGUUAAAGCUCUGAACUCACUUACCUUUGUGAUUGUUCAAACUCUUUGAGCUCAAAGAGAGUAGACAGAGUGUAAUCAUAAAUGUAAUCAGGUUUCUUCCCACGUCAAUAAUAAUAUGCAAUCUUAAGAAUAGUCGCCAUAUCUACCCCAUCUUCCUAACAUAUGUAGAUCAAUCAUGCUGUAGAUUAGUAAAAUAAAUACAAUAUUUGAUUCAAACAUGCAGAAGAUGUGAGCACCUUACCAAGAAGAGGAACCGUUCAUUAUUCACAAACUCAGGGACUUUACAUUUUGGCAAUGCACAAUGGAGUCUUUCAGUGUCUUCUUUGUUAAUCAAUGAGCUAUAAGAAUAUCUUAAAGCUUAUUAUUUUAUCUAUCCACUCGUGAUUUAAAAACAAUUAUAAAUGAUUUAUAAAUAGUUAUAAUGUUUCUUCCAAUCUCUAUCUCUCUUUUUUGUUGCAUCUGAAUUGUGUGUAUUAACUGUAAAUAAGCAUUAGUGUACUUGAAAAUAAAAAUAUUUGAUUUCAUGUAAACCAUAGUUGAGAACUGCACAUAUGCAAAGAAUUUGGUAAUCUAAAAUUAAAAGAAACCAUAAAAUAAUUUAUAAAGGCUUAUAAAUCAUUUAUUAUGAUUCAUAAACCAAUUUAUUUUAUAAAGAUUUAUAAAUAAGCUACAAAACAAGGAAGAACAGCAAAGCAUUACCAGAGAUCACCACAAGGAGGACCCAGAAGCUUCAAGGUAUAGGGAACAUAACCAAAAGCCACACCAAGGAGAACGUAACUGAAGACCGUGAAGAGACACCAUCCAAACUACACAUCACUUAAGAAACAUGGGGAUUGGAAGUUCAAUUCGACCGAGAAUCAUCUGUUUGUGAGGAUUCUUUCAUGCUGAGUGGAGACGUAGGCAGAGCUUCUUCACCAAGUAUCACUCUUUGUGAUGCGUACUCAGCGAUUGGGGAUGGUGGGAGUAUGUGAAUUUUCUGGAGCCAUUCGUGAAUUUUGUAAUAUUACGUACCCCAUUUGCAGAUUCAUCCCCGUCUUUGUUUGUGAGGGAGUUAGUCUCAUCAAUGGCUUCCCUUGUUGCUCAUGCCGUCAUGAAGCAUUGCCGGUAUUCAGAUUGCUUAUGCGAUGUCUUAAGUAAGUCCCAGGGAAGAACUCGGAAGUAAGUACUUAUGAUUGACAGUUACUAUGAUAAAUGCUUAUAGGACCAAGUACUAAGUUUCUGAGACUAUUCAGGACAAUAGAAAUUUCAGCUGCAUUGUCAAGACACUAGUGGAUGCUUUCAUUGUGGUUGCGAGAGACUUGGUUGGAACUAGAUUGGAAGUAAUAGAAAUGCAUGUGUUUGGUGUUCAACUGGUAGAUACCGUGCUUUUGCUUUUUCACCAAAAGUAAACAUGAUCCUGCUAAACAUUUCUUUGUCUAACUAUGGAGUUUGAAUAUUUUGCAGGGCUAGCUGUGUGAUGUUGAACAAAAGCAAGCAUAUAGUUGAAGUUGUUUCUAUGUUGGUCACUAUCCUUCAGUACCAAGCUUAUCUAUAAGAAACCGUACUCUAAGAAACUACAUUACUGAUGAUGCUUAUCACUGGAAAGAGAAUUUGUAGUUUGCUUGGUCCGGCCACGAACUGGGUGCGUCCGGUUUAGUCCUAGUUUAACAAUGUGCCUUCUGUAGCUGUCAAACUCAUGGUUUAUACCUAUUCAUAGUGCCGGUUAUGCACUGGAACAUGUGGCCUUGGAAUAUUUAGUAGUUAUUGUAUUCAGAUGCUUCUUUAUGAAAGAGUUUUUUGGUGCGUAAUCUAAUAUAUAUUUAGGUUAUGAACCAAUCAUUUUGAUUAUCAGAGAUAUAAUAACGAGCAUCCAUUUACUUGAAAGUAGAACUAGAAAUGUUUGAUUUCAAGUACAGAAUAGCUGGGAAUUGCACAUAUGCGAGGGAUGUGGGUAAUUUAAAUUCAAAAGAAACCAUAAAAUUAUUUAUAAAGGUUUAUAAAUCAUUUCUAAAGAUUCAUAAAUCAAUUUGUAAGGGUUUAUAACUUAUUUUAUAAAGAUUUAUAAAUUAGCUAUAAGAAUUUAUAAAGGCUUA